rnacentral:rRNA from 1 species
AUACGGAGGGUGCAAGCGUUAUCCGGAUUCAUUGGGUUUAAAGGGUUCGCAGGCGGCGUAUUAAGUCAGUGGUGAAAUCCCGAGGCUCAACCUCGGAACUGCCAUUGAUACUGGUAUGCUAGAGUAUAGUUGGCGUUGGCGGAAUGUAUCAUGUAGCGGUGAAAUGCUUAGAUAGGAUACAGAACACCGAUCGCGAAGGCAGCUAACGAAACUAUAACUGACGCUCAGGAACGAAAGCGUGGGGAGCGAACAGGAGUAGAUACCCGAGUAGUCC